CCCUUAGAUGUUCUGGGCUGCACGCGCGCUACACUGACGCACGCAACAGGUGCCUGCUCCGAGAGGACUGGGUAAUCAUUUGAGUGUGCGUCGUGAUGGGGAUAGAAUAUUGUAAUUAUUACUCUUCAACGAGGAAUACCUUGUAAGCGCGGGUCAUCAUCCCGCGCUGAAUACGUCCCUGCCCUUUGUACACACCGCCCGUCGCUCCUACCGAUUGAGUGGUCCGGUGAGGCUUUGGGAUCUGAGCGGAAAGAGCGUUUCGCUGUUUCUGCUCGGAAAACUCAGUCGAACCUUAUCAUUUAGAGGAAGGAGAAGUCGUAACA
rnacentral:rRNA from 1 species